CCUACGGGAGGCAGCAGUGGGGAAUAUUGCACAAUGGGGGAAACCCUGAUGCAGCGACGCCGCGUGAGUGAAGAAGUAUUUCGGUAUGUACAGCUCUAUCAGCAGGGAAGAAAAUGACGGUACCUGACUAAUAAGCCCCGGCUAACUACGUGCCAGCAGCCGCGGUAAUACGUAGGGGGCAAGCGUUAUCCGGAUUUACUGGGUGUAAAGGGAGCGUAGACGGCCAGACAAGGCAGAAGUGAAAGCCCAGGGCUCAACCCUAGGACUGCUUUUGAAACUGCAGGGCUGGAGUGCAGGAGAGGUAAGCGGAAUCCCUCGUGUAGCGGUGACAUGCGUAGAUAUUAGGAGGAACACCAGUGGCGAAGGCGGCUUACUGGACUGUAACUGACGUUGAGGCUAGCAAGUGUGGGGAGCAACCAGGAUUAGAUACCCUUGUAGUC
rnacentral:rRNA from 1 species